rnacentral:ncRNA from 1 species
UCAGAAAAAGGCAAACCAGUCGCGAGGCUGGGACGCAAAGCCAUGGAACUCACGUAGUCAGCCAGGUUACCUGGG